UACGAAGGGGGCUAGCGUUGCUCGGAAUCACUGGGCGUAAAGCGCACGUAGGCGGAUUUUUAAGUCAGGGGUGAAAUCCUGGAGCUCAACUCCAGAACUGCCUUUGAUACUGGGAAUCUCGGGUCCGGAAGAGGUGAGUGUAACUGCGAGUGUAGAGGUGAAAUUCGUAGAUAUUCGCAAGAACACCAGUGGCGAAGGCGGCUCACUGGCCCGAUACUGACGCUGAGGCACGAAAGCGUGGGGAGCAAACAGG
rnacentral:rRNA from 1 species